AGAGUUUAUUGUACAUCUUUAAGGGACGCUUUUAAGUGUAGCAGUUAUUCUACUAUAGAUUGCCAUUGUAUUUGCUCGUAAAUAUUUAGAGUAGGUCUAAGUUUCUCACUUCCUUGAUUCGGAAAAGAUACUGUGGUCUAGACGAUAUACCAUUUUUGAAGUGAAUUUGAAGCAUAAGAAUCUCUAGUAGGGCUUGGUCUAAAUAAAGCUGAUUUUCUAAUUUUAUUAUCCUUUUGGAACUCCAGGAUGGGACUGUUAUACGUGGUCAGAAUGAAAUAUCACAUCCUACUGAUGGACAUUUGACAGUGAUAAGCAAGGGAAAUGAGACCAGCUACCUGGAGAGUACCAGCUGCAUGCUGACCCUGAAGGUGAAUCGCUUUCACCCUGACCAUAAAGAAAAGCUAUGGAUCAAAAAGAGCAACCUAACCAUUCAAAUAAAGCAGUACAAGUACUCAAUUGCUGAAGAUGAUGAGUCUUCCAAGUCAUAUGUAAUGCAGCAAAUUUGGUUUCUGUUGUUCUGUGU